rnacentral:SRP_RNA from 1 species
GACGGGCCCCCUCGCAUGGGGACGCGGCCAAACGGGUCAGGUCGGGAACGAAGCAGCCCUAACCGUUAGUCGCCAGUGCCGAGGCAAAGGCUCGUCACC